rnacentral:rRNA from 1 species
ACGGGCGUAGCAAUACGUCAGUGGCAGACGGGUGAGUAACACGUCGGGUAACAUACCUCUUGGUUCGGAACAACACAGGGAAACUUGUGCUAAUACCGGAUAAGCCCUUACGGGGAAAGAUUUAUCGCCGAGAGAUUGGCCCGCGUCUGAUUAGCUAGUUGGUAGGGUAACGGCCUACCAAGGCGACGAUCAGUAGCUGGUCUGAGAGGAUGAUCAGCCACAUUGGGACUGAGACACGGCCCAAACUCCUACGGGAGGCAGCAGUGGGGAAUAUUGGACAAUGGGGGCAACCCUGAUCCAGCCAUGCCGCGUGAGUGAUGAAGGCCCUAGGGUUGUAAAGCUCUUUUGUGCGGGAAGAUAAUGACGGUACCGCAAGAAUAAGCCCCGGCUAACUUCGUGCCAGCAGCCGCGGUAAUACGAAAGGGGCUAGCGUUGCUCGGAAUCACUGGGCGUAAAGGGCGCGUAGGCGGGUUUUU